UGGCCGCAGUAUUUUAACUGUGCAAAGGNAGCAUAAUAAUUAGUCUUUUAAUUGAAGGCUGNUNNNAAUGGUUGGACGAGAUAUUGACUGUUUCAUAACAAUUUAUUAUAGAAUUUUAUUUUUUAGUAAAAAAGCUAAAAUUUUUUUAAAAGACGAGAAGACCCUAUAAAUCUUUAUAUCUAAUUUAUUAUGUUUUUAUAGAUAUUUUUUAACAUAAUAUUGAUGGUAUUUUAUUGGGGUGAUAUUAAAAUUUAAAUAACUUUUAAUUAUUUUUACAAUUAUGUUUGAAUUGGUUGAUCCAUUAUUAUUGAUUAAUAAAUUAAGUUACUUUAGGGAUAACAGCGUAAUUUUUUUGGAGAGUUCUUAUCAAUAAAAAAGAUUACGACCUCGAUGUUGGAUUAAGAAAUAUAUUUAAGUGC
rnacentral:rRNA from 1 species